rnacentral:rRNA from 1 species
AUGAACGCUGGCGGCGUGCCUAAUACAUGCAAGUCGAGCGAACAGACGAGGAGCUUGCUCCUCUGACGUUAGCGGCGGACGGGUGAGUAACACGUGGAUAACCUACCUAUAAGACUGGGAUAACUUCGGGAAACCGGAGCUAAUACCGGAUAAUAUAUUGAACCGCAUGGUUCAAUAGUGAAAGACGGUUUUGCUGUCACUUAUAGAUGGAUCCGCGCCGCAUUAGCUAGUUGGUAAGGUAACGGCUUACCAAGGCAACGAUGCGUAGCCGACCUGAGAGGGUGAUCGGCCACACUGGAACUGAGACACGGUCCAGACUCCUACGGGAGGCAGCAGUAGGGAAUCUUCCGCAAUGGGCGAAAGCCUGACGGAGCAACGCCGCGUGAGUGAUGAAGGUCUUCGGAUCGUAAAACUCUGUUAUUAGGGAAGAACAAAUGUGUAAGUAACUAUGCACGUCUUGACGGUACCUAAUCAGAAAGCCACGGAUAACUACGUG